UACGAAGGGGGCUAGCGUUGUUCGGAGUUACUGGGCGUAAAGGGCGCGUAGGCGGCGCACCAAGUCAGGCGUGAAAGCCCUGGGCUCAACCCGGGAAUUGCGCUUGAGACUGGUGUGCUUGAGUACGGGAGAGGAUAGUGGAAUUCCCAGUGUAGAGGUGAAAUUCGUAGAUAUUGGGAAGAACACCGGUGGCGAAGGCGGCUAUCUGGACCGUAACUGACGCUGAGGCGCGAAAGCGUGGGAGCAACAGG
rnacentral:rRNA from 1 species